CACGUAGGGUGCGAGCGUUGUCCGGAAUUAUUGGGCGUAAAGAGCUCGUAGGCGGUGUGUCGCGUCGGCCGUGAAAACCUGCAGCUUAACUGUGGGCUUGCGGUCGAUACGGGCAUCACUGGAGUUCGGCAGGGGGGACUGGAAUUCCUGGUGUAGCGGUGAAAUGCGCAGAUAUCAGGAGGAACACCGGUGGCGAAGGCGGAUCCCUGGGCCAUUACUGACGCUGAGGAGCGAAAGCGUGGGGAGCGAACAGG
rnacentral:rRNA from 1 species